rnacentral:rRNA from 1 species
CCGUGGAGCUUUACUGUAGCCUGAUAUUGAAAUUCGGCACAGCUUGUACAGGAUAGGUAGGAGCCUUUGAAACGUGAGCGCUAGCUUACGUGGAGGCGCUGGUGGGAUACUACCCUAGCUGUGUUGGCUUUCUAACCCGCACCACUUAUCGUGGUGGGAGACAGUGUCAGGCGGGCAGUUUGACUGGGGCGGUCGCCUCCUAAAAGGUAACGGAGGCGCUCAAAGGUUCCCUCAGAAUGGUUGGAAAUCAUUCAU